UAAAUAUUUAUGGUUUAAUUAAUUUGAUUUUAAAUUUAUUUUACAUAUAAAUUUUUGUGUUAAUUUUAAUUAUUUUAAUAAUAAAAAUUUUUGUAGUAAUUAAUAUUAAAUAUUUAAGAAAUUAAGAUUUAGUAAUAUUUAAAUUAUUAACAAAUUUUGUGCCAGCAGUUGCGGUUAUACAAAAAAUAAAUUAAAUUUUAUUAGUGUGUAAUAAAUAUAAAUAAUAUUUAAAUUAAAUAUAAAAUUAUUAGGUGAAAUUUUAAUUUUAUUAAAAUUUAUUUAAAUUAUAUGAUUUAUUAAAUUUUAUAAUAAACUAGGAUUAGAUACCCUAUUAUUAAAAAUUUAAAUUUAUAAUACUAAAAUAUUAAAUAAUAAUUUAUUGAAACUUAAAUAAUUUGGCGGUAUUUUAGUUUAUUUAGAGGAAUCUGUCUAAUAAUUGAUAAUCCACGAAUAAAUUUACUUAAUUUAUAAUUUUAUAUAUCGUUGUUAAAAAAAUAUUUUUAGAUAAAAAUAAUAUUUAAAAAUUUUAAAUUUAAAUUAACUCAGAUCAAGAUGUAGAUAAUAAUUAAGAAUAUGAUGGAUUACAAUAAAAUUAUUUAAAUGGAGAAUAAUAUGAAAAUUUAUUUGAAGGUGGAUUUAAAUGUAAUUUUAUUUAUUUUAAUAAAAUGAUUUAAUAUUAAAAUAUGUACAUAUUGCCCGUCGCUUUCAUUAAUAAAUUGAAAUAAGUCGUAACAAAGUAGAGGUACUGGA
rnacentral:ncRNA from 1 species